rnacentral:rRNA from 1 species
CCUACGGGUGGCAGCAGUGAGGAAUAUUGGUCAAUGGACGAGAGUCUGAACCAGCCAAGUAGCGUGAAGGAUGACUGCCCUAUGGGUUGUAAACUUCUUUUAUAUGGGAAUAAAACGUUCCACGUGUGGGAUUUUGUAUAUACCAUAUGAAUAAGGAUCGGCUAACUCCGUGCCAGCAGCCGCGGUAAUACGGAGGAUCCGAGCGUUAUCCGGAUUUAUUGGGUUUAAAGGGAGCGUAGGUGGAUUGUUAAGUCAGUUGUGAAAGUUUGCGGCUCAACCGUAAAAUUGCAGUUGAAACUGGCAGUCUUGAGUACAGUAGAGGUGGGCGGAAUUCGUGGUGUAGCGGUGAAAUGCUUAGAUAUCACGAAGAACUCCGAUUGCGAAGGCAGUUCACUGGACUGCAACUGACACUGAGGCUCGAAAGUGUGGGUAUCAAACAGGAUUAGAUACCCCUGUAGUC